rnacentral:rRNA from 1 species
AUGAUGUGUCGAAAGGUGGAAUUCGGCACAUCCUUUACUAGAUGCCACUUCAGUGGGAAGCUCCCAGACCACUUAUCUUGCUGCCAGAAAUCCAUGUCUUUGUGAAAAUCCACAGGGCCGACCAUUUCAGCAACACCACAAAACUGCCCGCUUGUAUUAACCUACAGAGAGUGUUGGUAUGUCAAACCCAUACAUAAAGAAAAAACGGAAAAGAAAACAAUAACACAUCAAAACUCACCGAAAAGAACAGAAAUAUUGGACACUUCCGUUGACUCCCUUUUGCUUCUGAGUAGGCAGCAUCCAGCCUUCUGUUGCCAUUGGGUGUGCUGGACCACACAUUAUAUUUGA